rnacentral:rRNA from 1 species
AACGUUAAUCGGGGCAGGGUGAGUCGACCCCUAAGGCGAGGCCGAAAGGCGUAGUCGAUGGGAAACAGGUUAAUAUUCCUGUACUUGGUGUUACUGCGAAGGGGGGACGGAGAAGGCUAUGUUGGCCGGGCGACGGUUGUCCCGGUUUAAGCGUGUAGGCUGGUUUUCCAGGCAAAUCCGGAAAAUCAAGGCCGAGGCGUGAUGACGAGGCACUACGGUGCUGAAGCAACAAAUGCCCUGCUUCCAGGAAAAGCCUCUAAGCAUCAGGUAACAUCAAAUCGUACCCCAAACCGACACAGGUGGUCAGGUAGAGAAUACCAAGGCGCUUGAGAGAACUCGGGUGAAGGAACUAGGCAAAAUGGUGCCGUAACUUCGGGAGAAGGCACGCUGAUACGUAGGUGAAGCGACUUGCUCGUGGAGCUGAAAUCAGUCGAAGAUACCAGCUGGCUGCAACUGUUUAUUAAAAACACAGCACUGUGCAAACACGAAAGUGGACGUAUACGGUGUGACGCCUGCCCGGUGCCGGAAGGUUAAUUGAUGGGGUUAGCGCAAGCGAAGCUCUUGAUCGAAGCCCCGGUAAACGGCGGCCGUAACUAUAACGGUCCUAAGGUAGCGAAAUUCCUUGUCGGGUAAGUUCCGACCUGCACGAAUGGCGUAAUGAUGGCCAGGCUGUCUCCACCCGAGACUCAGUGAAAUUGAACUCGCUGUGAAGAUGCAGUGUACCCGCGGCAAGACGGAAAGACCCCGUGAACCUUUACUAUAGCUUGACACUGAACAUUGAGCCUUGAUGUGUAGGAUAGGUGGGAGGCUUUGAAGUGUGGACGCCAGUCUGCAUGGAGCCGACCUUGAAAUACCACCCUUUAAUGUUUGAUGUUCUAACGUGGACCCGUGAUCCGGGUUGCGGACAGUGUCUGGUGGGUAGUUUGACUGGGGCGGUCUCCUCCUAAAGAGUAACGGAGGAGCACGAAGGUUGGCUAAUCCUGGUCGGACAUCAGGAGGUUAGUGCAAUGGCAUAAGCCAGCUUGACUGCGAGCGUGACGGCGCGAGCAGGUGCGAAAGCAGGUCAUAGUGAUCCGGUGGUUCUGAAUGGAAGGGCCAUCGCUCAACGGAUAAAAGGUACUCCGGGGAUAACAGGCUGAUACCGCCCAAGAGUUCAUAUCGACGGCGGUGUUUGGCACCUCGAUGUCGGCUCAUCACAUCCUGGGGCUGAAGUAGGUCCCAAGGGUAUGGCUGUUCGCCAUUUAAAGUGGUACGCGAGCUGGGUUUAGAACGUCGUGAGACAGUUCGGUCCCUAUCUGCCGUGGGCGCUGGAGAACUGAGGGGGGCUGCUCCUAGUACGAGAGGACCGGAGUGGACGCAUCACUGGUGUUCGGGUUGUCAUGCCAAUGGCACUGCCCGGUAGCUAAAUGCGGAAGAGAUAAGUGCUGAAAGCAUCUAAGCACGAAACUUGCCCCGAGAUGAGUUCUCCCUGACCCUUUAAGGGUCCUGAAGGAACGUUGAAGACGACGACGUUGAUAGGCCGGGUGUGUAAGCGCAGCGAUGCGUUGAGCUAACCGGUACUAAUGAACCGUGAGGCUUAACCUU